rnacentral:rRNA from 1 species
AGCCAUGCCGCGUGCAGGAUGACGGCGCUACGCGUUGUAAACUGCUUUUAUAUACCAAGAAACCUCAGGACGUGUCCUGAGCUGACGGUAGUAUAUGAAUAAGCACCGGCUAACUCCGUGCCAGCAGCCGCGGUAAUACGGAGGGUGCAAGCGUUAUCCGGAUUUAUUGGGUUUAAAGGGUCCGUAGGCGGAUGAUUAAGUCAGUGGUGAAAGCCCACAGCUCAACUGUGGAAUUGCCAUUGAUACUGAUUGKCUUGAGUACCUUUGAUGUUGGCGGAAUAUGUCAUGUAUCGGGGGAAAUGCUUAGAUAUGACAUAGAACACCGAUUGCGAAGGCAGCCAACAAAGCCGUAACUGACGCUUAGGGACSAAAGCGUKGGGAGCGAACAGGAUUUGAUACCCUGGUAGUCCACGCCGUAAACCAUGAUUACUCGGUAUUGGCUUCGGUCAGUGCCCAAGCCAAAGUG